rnacentral:rRNA from 1 species
GACGAACGCUGGCGGCGUGCCUAAUACAUGCAAGUAGAACGCUGAAGGAGGAGCUUGCUUCUCUGGAUGAGUUGCGAACGGGUGAGUAACGCGUAGGUACCUGCCUGGUAGCGGGGGGUAACUAUUUGAAACGAUAGCUAAUACCGCAUAAGAAUAGGUGUCGCAUGACAUUUGCUUAAAAGGUUCAAUUGCAUCCCUAACAGAUGGACCUGCGUUGUAUUAGCUAGUUGGUGAGGUAACGGCUCACCAAGGCAACGAUACAUAGCCGACCUGAGAGGGUGAUCGGCCACACUGGGACUGAGACACGGCCCAGACUCCUACGGGAGGCAGCAGUAGGGAAUCUUCGGCAAUGGACGGAAGUCUGACCGAGCAACGCCGCGUGAGUGAAGAAGGUUUUCGGAUCGUAAAGCUCUGUUGUAAGAGAAGAACGAGUGUGAGAGUGGAAAGUUCACACUGUGACGGUAUCUUACCAGAAAGGGACGGCUAACUACGUG